rnacentral:rRNA from 1 species
UACAUGGGGUGCAAACGUUGCUCGGAAUUAUUGGGCGUAAAGCGCACGUAGGCGGUUCGUUAAGUCGGAUGUGAAAGCCCUCGGCUCAACUGAGGAAGUGCACCCGAAACUGGCGAGCUUGAGUACGAAAGAGGAUCGCGGAAUUCCCGGUGUAGAGGUGAAAUUCGUAGAUAUCGGGAGGAACACCAGUGGCGAAGGCGGCGAUCUGGGAAGAUACUGACGCUGAGGUGCGAAAGCGUGGGGAGCAAACAGG